GAAUAUUGGACAAUGGGCGAAAGCCUGAUCCAGCCACGCCGCGUGAGUGAUGAAGGCCCUCGGGUCGUAAAGCUCUGUGGGGAGGGACGAAACCCCGAAGGCGACUACCCUUCGGGUUGACGGUACCUCCUUAGCAAGCACCGGCUAACUCCGUGCCAGCAGCCGCGGUAAUACGGAGGGUGCAAACGUUGCUCGGAAUCAUUGGGCGUAAAGCGCACGUAGGCGGUCCGGUAAGUCGGAUGUGAAAGCCCUCGGCUCAACCGAGGAAGUGCAUUCGAAACUGUCGGACUAGAGUACGGGAGGGGGAUGCGGAAUUCCCGGUGUAGAGGUGAAAUUCGUAGAUAUCGGGAGGAGCACCAGAGGCGAAGGCGGCAUCCUGGACCGAUACUGACGCUGAGGUGCGAAAGCGUGGGGAGCAAACAGG
rnacentral:rRNA from 1 species